CGUGUAGGCGGAUGCGUAAGUCCGGUGUAAAAGCCCCCGGCUCAACCGGGGAAGGCCAUCGGAUACUGCGUGUCUCGAGUGCGGGAAGGGAGAGUGGAACUCUUGGUGGAGCGGUGAAAUGCGUAGAUAUCAAGAGGAACGCCGGUGGCGAAAGCGGCUCUCUGGCCCGUGACUGACGCUGAGGCGCGAAAGCUAGGGGAGCAAACGGGAUUAGAUACCCCGGUAGUCCUAGCCCUAAACGAUGGGUACUAAGUAGGGGCGACUCCGAUGUUGUCUCUGCUGUAGCCAACGUGCUAAGUACCCCGCCUGGGGAGUACGGUCGCAAGGCUGAA
rnacentral:rRNA from 1 species